rfam:Triticum aestivum genome assembly, contig: Triticum_aestivum_CS42_TGACv1_scaffold_322050_4BL
GUAGUAUUCCCUCCGUCCCAAAAUUCUUGUCUUACAUUUGUUUAGAUACGGAUGUAUCUAACACUAAAAUGUAACUAGAUACAUCCAUAUUUAGACAAAUUUAAGACAAGAAUUUUGGGAUGGAGGGAGUACAAA